UUACGGUCAUAUCACAUUGAAACAUUGGUUCUCGGCUAAUCACCGGAGUUAAGCAACGUUGAGCCUGAUCAGUACUUAGAUGGGUGACCACUUGAGAAUACCAAGUGCU